UGGGGGUCCAAGUCAUGUGACCUUGCGUCAGUUACUUACUAGGCUGUGGCUCGGUGUUUCUCAUCUGUGAAACGGGAAGCACUUGGUCUCUACAUAUCCGGGGAGCCAGGACUGCCUUAGGAUCGGAGACUGUCUGCCCCAGUGACCCACCAGCCCCCGCCCUGCUGGGCUCCACCAUGGACCCGUGGGACCUGCUGCUGGGUCUCAGGACCUUCUCCAUGGGAAUCUGCAGAGCUGGCAGAUGGGCGUGUGGCCCUUGCCCUCCCCCAGCAGCAGGUGGCCUUUGCAGCCUGGCACCUGUUCCUGGAGGUUGGCUGCCAGGAAGGUGCAAACCCAGGAAUCGCCCUCCUGAUGUGUCCUCUGCCAUAGCACAAGGC
rnacentral:lncRNA from 1 species